ensembl:misc_RNA Metazoa_SRP Metazoan signal recognition particle RNA
GCCAGGUGUGAUGGCUCACACCUGUAAUCCCAGCACUUUAGGAGGCCGAGGCAGGUGAAUCACCUGAGGUCAGGAGUUCAAGACCAGCCUGACCAACAUGGAGAAACCCUGUCUCUA